rnacentral:rRNA from 1 species
UACGUAGGGUGCAAGCGUUAAUCGGAAUUACUGGGCGUAAAGCGUGCGUAGGUGGUUUUUUAAGUCCGUUGUGAAAGCCCUGGGCUCAACCUGGGAAUGGCAGUGGAUACUGGAAAGCUAGAGUGCGGUAGAGGGUAGUGGAAUUCCCGGUGUAGCAGUGAAAUGCGUAGAGAUCGGGAGGAACACCAGUGGCGAAGGCGGCUACCUGGACCAGCACUGACACUGAGGCACGAAAGCGUGGGGAGCAAACAGG